UCGAGAACAACCUACAGAAGACGGAGAGCUACAUUUUUAGUGCUGUGUUUCGAUUUUGGAGUCGCCAAAUCGGAAAGAGCAACACUUAUUUGUCAAUAACGCAAUAUCACGUUGAAAUAAAUUGCGCGAGAGAAGGAAAUUAAGGUUCCGGGUCCUGCUUAAACGAAAAUCGGAAAGAGCAACACUUAUUUGUCAAUAACGCGAUAUCACGUUGAAAUAAAUUGCGCGAGAGAGGGAAAUUAAGGUUCCGGGUCCUGCUUAAACGAGCACCGCAAAAAAAAAGAAAAUGGGAAUAAGGUGUAUAUCACUGGUUAGAGGACAAUUUUUAGAAUACCGCUAGCUACAUUUUGAUUCAAGUGGGUUGCUAUCUGGGUUGUCCAUUGAUCGUUGAGAUACAGCUAUGGUCUGCAUUCCCUGCAUCGUCAUUCCCAUUCUCUUGUGGGUGUAUAAGAGGUUCCUUGAACCCAUCAUCUACCCCUUCAUGGGUCCAAUUAUAAGCCGAUUUUGGCCAACAAAAACCGCUGUCCAGGAGAGUGUCACAGGAACGGGUGAUAUGAAAGCAUGCAAGGUAAUACAUUACCCAAAACCUGUUAUUGGAUUAUGGACUCAGACAGUGUUCCACCACUAGUAGACUGCACCUGUAGCAACCUCCAGUGACCAAGGCUCAGACUGGCUAUGAAUGCUGAAGAAGGCAUCGCACACAUUGUAUACUGAACAAAAAUAUAAAAGCAACAUGUAGAGUGUUGGUGCCAUGUUUCAUGAUCUGAAAUAAAAGAUCCCAGAAAUGUUC